rnacentral:rRNA from 1 species
GAUGAACGCUGGCGGCGUGCCUAAUACAUGCAAGUCGAGCGAACAGACGAGGAGCUUGCUCCUCUAACGUUAGCGGCGGACGGGUGAGUAACACGUGGAUAACCUACCUAUAAGACUGGGAUAACUUCGGGAAACCGGAGCUAAUACCGGAUAAUAUAUUGAACCGCAUGGUUCAAUAGUGAAAGACGGUUUUGCUGUCACUUAUAGAUGGAUCCGCGCCGCAUUAGCUAGUUGGUAAGGUAACGGCUUACCAAGGCGACGAUGCGUAGCCGACCUGCGAGGGUGAUCGGCCACACUGGAACUGAGACACGGUCCAGACUCCUACGGGAGGCAGCAGUAGGGAAUCUUCCGCAAUGGGCGAAAGCCUGACGGAGCAACGCCGCGUGAGUGAUGAAGGUCUUCGGAUCGUAAAACUCUGUUAUUAGGGAAGAACAAAUGUGUAAGUAACUAUGCACGUCUUGACGGUACCUAAUCAGAAAGCCACGGCUAACUACGUG